AACGAACGCUGGCGGCAUGCCUAACACAUGCAAGUCGAACGAGACCUUCGGGUCUAGUGGCGCACGGGUGCGUAACGCGUGGGAAUCUGCCCUUUGCUUCGGAAUAACAGUUAGAAAUGACUGCUAAUACCGGAUGAUGUCUUCGGACCAAAGAUUUAUCGGCAAAGGAUGAGCCCGCGUAGGAUUAGGUAGUUGGUGGGGUAAAGGCCUACCAAGCCGACGAUCCUUAGCUGGUCUGAGAGGAUGAUCAGCCACACUGGGACUGAGACACGGCCCAGACUCCUACGGGAGGCAGCAGUGGGGGAAUAUUGGACAAUGGGCGAAAGACCUGAUCCAGCAAUGCGCGUGAGUGAUGAAGGCC
rnacentral:rRNA from 1 species